rnacentral:rRNA from 1 species
AUUGAACGCUGGCGGCAGGCUUAACACAUGCAAGUCGAGCGGGGUGAUGGUGCUUGCACUAUCACUUAGCGGCGGACGGGUGAGUAAUGCUUAGGAAUCUGCCUAUUAGUGGGGGACAACAUCUCGAAAGGGAUGCUAAUACCGCAUACGUCCCACGGGAGAAAGCAGGGGAUCACUUGUGACCUUGCGCUAAUAGAUGAGCCUAAGUCGGAUUAGCUAGUUGGUGGGGUAAAGGCCUACCAAGGCGACGAUCUGUAGCGGGUCUGAGAGGAUGAUCCGCCACACUGGGACUGAGACACGGCCCAGACUCCUACGGGAGGCAGCAGUGGGGAAUAUUGGACAAUGGGGGGAACCCUGAUCCAGCCAAGCCGCGUGUGUGAAGAAGGCCUUAUGGUUGUAAAGCACUUUAAGCGAGGAGGAGGCUCUUUUGGUUAAUACCCAAGAUGAGUGGACGUUACUCGCAGAAUAAGCACCGGCUAACUCUGUGCCAGCCGCCGCAGUAA